rnacentral:rRNA from 1 species
CGGGCAGGUGGUCUGUUAAGUCGUUUGUGAAAACCCGGGGCUCAACCCCGCGGAAUGCAGACGAUACUGGCAGACUGGAGAUCGGUAGAGGCUAGCGGAAUUCCAGGUGUAGCGGUGGAAUGCGUAGAUAUCUGGAAGAACACCUGUGGCGAAGGCGGCUAGCUGGGCCGAGUCUGACACUCAUCCGCAAAAGCGUGGGGAGCAAACA